CAGCGAACAGACUCUCUUCCUGACUUCGCUCCGGUCGGCGAACUGACGCGACGACGCGUCCGCGGCGGCUGACACUACUGACAGUAUCAACCUGAGCGGAAAGUUCGCUCUCAUUCCGGAUACAUGAACCUGAUUCAUGAAGACGUUUUCAAGGAGGAGAGGAAAGAGAAAAUAAGUGAGUUAUAAGGAGGACCGCUGUUGGCACGCUCUGUGGGAACUAUGGAAGAGUCUUCAGUGGUUCAGUGUUUGUAGGAGUACUUAUGGAUGAGGAGGAGGGCCGUGACCUCUUCCGCCCCCCAGAAAACCCAACUUGUCCGCCGGUGGUCCCAACUCGCGUCCUGUAGCUCGCUGGAGGAGGCAGGAGAAGAUCAGCCAAGAAUCGGUAGACAUAGUCCACACCGUUGUUCACUUCUUGGCUCUUGACUCUGCAAGGAGGACUGCUGUUGACACUAAUGUGGGAAUAUGGAAGAGUCUUCAGAUUUGCAGUGUCAGUGGAGGACAUCUUUGAAGAAGGAACAUCUCCUCUGGCAGACGUCCUCAGCAGUGGACUGAAAGUCCGUCAGAGAAGAGCUCCGAGUGCGGAUGGUCCGGUGGAGCAGCGGCAUCGAAAGCGCUUCCGAAAGCACCUGCUACCAUGUAGCAGUAAGUUCGAUUCCCGUGAGACCCCGUCACCUGGAACGCGAUUCCCACGGAAGUGGAUGAGGAGGAGGGCCGUGACCUCCUCCGCCCCCCAGAGACCUGUAAGCAGAGGGUUAUGGAAGAAGAAACUCCACCCAGCUGGAGUUUUACAGACUGUGGGGGUUGAGCAUUGAGCUUCUUGUUGCAGCUGCACGCCGCCUACAGGUGGACAAUAUUUUAAUAAUCCUACUUGAUUUCUACUUAUUUAUUACUACUAAUCCUACUUACUGAUUACUGAUUGGCUGCUUGAUACACGAUCAAUGACUCUACUUAUUUCGGAUACAUUGUCAGUUAUGUGAUGUUGUUAUUAAGUUCAGUCUACUUUGUAUCACUUGUAUUUACUGUGUGUGUUCAAUGGUUUUGGAGCGUGUCAUGGGAAUCAGGGACUAACUAUUGGGUUUGUGGGUUUGGGUUUGGGUUUCCCAACAGGGACUUGAACUCCCAGAUCCAGGUCCCGGUUACAGACCUGUCAGCGUCUUAUCUCACUGAGCUAUAAUUGAAGUUGAACCUGUGCAUGUUGUUGUAAUUCUUGUAUUUCACAUUGAAGGAGAAAACAUUGAAAAUGGUCAGAACACAGUCAGGUUUUGAACCCUCAAUCUGAGUGUGGAGAACCAACAGUGACAACCAUUUACUCAUUGAGCUAUAUAUUGGGACAAUAGAGUAUAAGUUGUUGUUGCUUUUCUUUACAUUUUUGAAGAGAAAACUCAGAAAAGGGUUAUCAGAGGAUAAAUUGGAUUUGAUCCCUCCACUUUUGAUUUUCAGGUAGCAGCACCUUAUCUCAGGGAGCUACACCUGAGGGUUACAAUCAGUGGUUCGUUGUUAUAUCUAUUGUUCAUGUUGCUGAAUAAAAAAGACAAAAAUCUCAAGUGAGUGUAGAUUUGAACCUUGCAACUCAGAUUUCAACAUGAGCUGCUUAUCUCACUGAGCUAUUUCUGCAGUUGGAUUUUUCUUUUUAAAGCCCUAAUAUCUGUGACGUCCAUGAAUGCGUUGUUGGCAUCCUUUGCCUUGAUGCCAGCACCUCAGGACACCGCAGCAAAGAAGAUGCAAGGAGAGGGCAGGGGCUUGUUCCUCCAAAGCAGCACUGUUGUACCUGAGCUCCAUUAUAGUUCAUAUAACCCCCAGGGUUGUCUGUCCAGUGUAAAACCUAAAUUAAAUGUAGUUAAAGUAAAUGAAAGAAUUAAAAA